UCUGGGAAACCGGGGCAUACCGCAUAAGUGAAAGAAAGCAGCGCUGAAAGAGGAGCCCGCGGCCGAUUAGCUAGUUGGUGGGGUAAGAGCCCACCAAGGCAGAGAUCGGUAGCCGGCCUGAGAGGGCACACGGCACACUGGCCUGGAAACGGGCCAAUCCUACGGAGGCAGCAUGGGGAAUCUUGCNCAAGGGGGAAACCUGAUGCAGCGACGCCGGUGAAACCCUUCGGGUGUAAAGCUCUUUCGUCAGGGAAGAAUGACGGUCCUGGAGAACGUGGGUAAUACUGCCAGCAGCGCGGUAAUACGUAGCGCAAGCGUUGUUCGGAGUUACUGGGCGUAAAGGGUGUGUAGCGGUCUUUAAGUUGGUGUGAAAUCCCCGGCUCAAUGGGAGGGACGCCGAAUAC
rnacentral:rRNA from 1 species